rnacentral:rRNA from 1 species
AGAUGUGGGCCAACCUCCUUGUCGAGGCCUGAUCUCGUCAGAUCUCAGAGGCUGAACUGGGCUGGGCCUGGUGAGGGUUUGGAUGGGAGACCGCUGGGAAUUCCAAGUUGUUGUGACCU